GAGGAUAUAGCUCAGUGGUAGAGUGCCUGCUUAGCAUGCAUGAGGUCCUGGGUUCAAUUCUCAGUACCUCU
rnacentral:tRNA from 1 species